AAUCAACGCUGGCGGCGUGCCUAACACAUGCAAGUCGAACGCGAAAGUGGAGCAAUCCAUGAGUAGAGUGGCGAACGGGCGAGUAACACGUGGGUGACCUAUCUUCGAAUGGGGGAUAACGUCCCGAAAGGGACGCUAACACCGCGUAACAUCCUGCCUUUGAACAGGUGGAGAUCAAAGCCGGGGAUCGCAAGACCUGG
rnacentral:rRNA from 1 species